ACGGGAGGCAGCAGUAGGGAAUAUUGCACAAUGGGGGAAACCCUGAUGUAGCAACGCCACGUGUGGGAAGAAGCAUUUCGGUGUGUAAACCACUGUCGUGAAGGAAUAAUGCUGGACCUCGGUCCAGUUGAAUGUACUUUGAAAGGAAGCACCGGCAAACUUCGUGCCAGCAGCCGCGGUAAUACGAGGGGUGCAAGCGUUGUUCGGAAUCACUGGGCGUAAAGGGAGCGCAGGCGGAGAUGCAAGCAGUCUGUACAAUACCGGGGCCCAACCCCGGACCUGCAGACUGGACUGUUUCUCUUGGAUAGCUCAGGGGCUGGCGGAAUUCCUGGUGUAGCGGUGGAAUGCGUAGGGAUCAGGGAGAACACCGAUGGCGAAGGCAGCUUGCUGGGGACUUAUCGACGCUCAUGCUCGAAAGUGCGGGUAGCAAACAGGAUUAGAUACCCUGGUA
rnacentral:rRNA from 1 species